AAUAGGCUAAUUAAGAGCGUAAGGGGAAUGCCUUGGCUCUCAGAGGCGAUGAAGGACGUGAUAAGCUGCGAUAAGCUGUGGGGAGUGGCACAAACACUUUGAUCCGCAGAUUUCCGAAUGGGGCAACCCGGCAUAUUGAAGAUAUGUCACACUGUAAAGUGAGCAAACCUGGUGAACUGAAACAUCUAAGUAACCAGAGGAAUAGAAAACAAAAGUGAUUCCGCUAGUAGUGGCGAGCGAACGUGGAACAGCCCAAACCUAUGUUGUUACGGCAAUAUAGGGGUUGUAGGACCUCAACAUUUAAUGCUAAUAGAACUAGAAUUUACUGGAAAGUAAAAC
rnacentral:rRNA from 1 species